rnacentral:rRNA from 1 species
UACGGAGGGGGCUAGCGUUGUUCGGAAUUACUGGGCGUAAAGCGCACGUAGGCGGCUUUGUAAGUUAGAGGUGAAAGCCCGGGGCUCAACUCCGGAAUUGCCUUUAAGACUGCAUCGCUAGAAUUGUGGAGAGGUAAGUGGAAUUCCGAGUGUAGAGGUGAAAUUCGUAGAUAUUCGGAAGAACACCAGUGGCGAAGGCGACUUACUGGACACAUAUUGACGCUGAGGUGGCGAAAAGCGUUGGGGAGCAAACAGG